UCGGGAAUUUUGGGCAAUGGGGGAAACCCUGACCCAGCAACGCCGCGUGAAGGAUGAAGUAUUUCGGUAUGUAAACUUCGAAAGAAUAGGAAGAAUAAAUGACGGUACUAUUUAUAAGGUCCGGCUAACUACGUGCCAGCAGCCGCGGUAAUACGUAGGGACCAAGCGUUGUUCGGAUUUACUGGGCGUAAAGGGCGCGUAGGCGGCAAUUCAAGUCAUCUGUGAAAUCUCCGGGCUUAACUCGGAACAGUCAGAUGAUACUGCUUUGCUAGAGUGCAGAAGGGGCAAUCGGAAUUCUUGGUGUAGCGGUGAAAUGCGUAGAUAUCAAGAGGAACACCUGAGGUGAAGACGGGUUGCUGGGCUGACACUGACGCUGAGGCGCGAAAGCCAGGGGAGCAAA
rnacentral:rRNA from 1 species